UAGGAGGGAUUCAUGCUCUCCUCCUGGUUGCUAUGACGAGACAGAUGUGAAACUCUCCAUUUUCACCGACUGUGUAGACCUCAGCUGUCAUCUGUGCGAAGCUCUGCACGUCUCACUGCUGGGUGCUCCAGGUGAUGGGAGGUGAAUAUGCUGCUGGUUGGGACACUCAAGCCACACAGAUUGG
rnacentral:lncRNA from 1 species